GCUAGUAAUGGCAGGUCAGCAUACUGCCGUGAAUACGUUCCCGGGCCCUUGUACACACCGCCCGUCACACCAUGAGAGUUGGGAAUACCCGAAGCCUGUGAGCUAACAUUAAGAGGCAGCAGUCGAAGGUAGAAUCAAUGAUUGGGGUGAAGUCGUAACAAGGUACC
rnacentral:rRNA from 1 species